GAUCCUGGCUCAGGAUGAACGCUAGCGGCAGGCCUAACACAUGCAAGUCGAGGGGCAUCACGAGGUAGCAAUACUUUGGUGGCGACCGGCGCACGGGUGCGUAACGCGUAUGUAACCUACCUAUAACAGAGGCAUUACACUGAGAAAUUGGUACUAAUUCCCCAUAAUAUUCGGAGAGGCAUCUCUCCGGGUUGAAAACUCCGGUGGUUAUAGAUGGACAUGCGUUGUAUUAGCUAGUUGGUG
rnacentral:rRNA from 1 species